rnacentral:rRNA from 1 species
UUAAGUCGACCGCCUGGGGAGUACGGCCGCAAGGUUAAAACUCAAAUGAAUUGACGGGGGCCCGCACAAGCGGUGGAGCAUGUGGUUUAAUUCGAUGCAACGCGAAGAACCUUACCUGGUCUUGACAUCCACGGAAGUUUUCAGAGAUGAGAAUGUGCCUUCGGGAACCGUGAGACAGGUGCUGCAUGGCUGUCGUCAGCUCGUGUUGUGAAAUGUUGGGUUAAGUCCCGCAACGAGCGCAACCCUUAUCCUUUGUUGCCAGCGGUCCGGCCGGGAACUCAAAGGAGACUGCCAGUGAUAAACUGGAGGAAGGUGGGGAUGACGUCAAGUCAUCAUGGCCCUUACGACCAGGGCUACACACGUGCUACAAUGGCGCAUACAAAGAGAAGCGACCUCGCGAGAGCAAGCGGACCUCAUAAAGUGCGUCGUAGUCCGGAUUGGAGUCUGCAACUCGACUCCAUGAAGUCGGAAUCGCUAGUAAUCGUGGAUCAGAAUGCCACGGUGAAUACGUUCCCGGGCCUUGUACACACCGCCCGUCACACCAUGGGAGUGGGUUGCAAAAGAAGUAGGUAGCUUAACCUUCGGGAGGGCG